UGUCCUGGAGGGAUAAACACCAAUCAGCAGAAGGCACGAGUAGAGCCCACCCUCGCCUGUGUCUUACCUUAUGCAUCUGACAGGUUCCACUGAGCCUGUCAAUGUGGAGACCCGUUAACUAACGUACAGUUCACCUUGACAAAACAGGAAUUCUCAGAGCCUUUUCACUUUACCCCCUUGGCCAAAUAAUUUCCUUUCGAGCUCUUAGGUGCAUGAGGUUUGAAAAAUGUCCCUGCUUUACUGGGAAAAUGAUAGCUGUUGUAAUAGGGUGGAUCCAGCUUUACAGUGCAUACCUGGUGUGAAAACAAAUGUUGUCUCAGCACUAAUCCACAGACAGCUAACCUGAAGAAAUCCACACUGUAAUUGCGACUCUUACUUUAUUUUUCUGUUUUGGUCUUACCAAUUCCCAAAUAAUGUGUCAUGUGUGGUCUUAGACAUUUUUCCUCUGUAUUUGCACACAUGGCUUAUAGCUUAUCUCAUGGGGGGUAGAAAAAAUCAUAAUAAUUGAAAGCUUUCUUCAAUAUACACACUCAAAUGCAUUCAGAAAUACCAACUAACAUAUGGUUCUAUAUGAAAUACUGAAAAUUGAUCUGAAGUUCCAAAAUUUGAAAUGAAGAAGCAACGGUAUUGAUGAAAACCAAUCGCUCUGAUACUCUGAGUGUGUUUUGUUUGGCUGAACUCUAGCACAAGCCACAGGGCUGUCUUGCUCUGAGGAAAGCCGACGUUUACAUUCCGGAUCACAUGUCAAGCGUCUGGACCGGAGACGACCGUAAAAUCCCCCUCAAACCCCUGCGUCUGCUAUCUGAGGAGUCCCCGGGGGAGCCUCUUCCACCGCCCUGCGAUGAGCGCCAUUCCUUCCAGUCUCCCAAUCAAUCAGAGGAUUCAAGGGCCUGAGAGCUCCUGGCCUUCUGGACAAGAGGAGUUGGGCUGGAUACGAAUUGGUGAGGGGGGACUCCAGGGAGGGCUCCAGCUGGCAGAACCCCCGCCACCACCAGCACCGCACAGCCUGCCUGCUUGCCGCCUCCAUCAGAGCCUCCAUCUGUACCCAGACUGUGGAGGAGUGUGUGGGUUGAUGAGGGCAGCUGCCGGCACGGGAUGCAAUGUGAUGCUCUUCGCAAGACGAGACUGGUGUUCUGGGAAGUCGUUAUUUACUGGAAGUGAAAACGCCCAAUGUAUUCUAAGGAAUGGAUACAACAUAUGUUUUAAAUAUAUUUUCACUGGAUAAGCAGUUGUAGACUUUUUCCAAAUUGUUUUUAAAGCUGUUAAUGGCUCCUGAGUGCACAAUGAAAUAGCAGAGCUAUCAAUCAUAAGUUCUUUACAUGCAAUUUAGGAUCUGGGUACAAAAAGAGAAAAGGCCUAUGUGUGCACGUGUAUUUGUUUUUCUAUUUGCGCGUUUGCAUGUUUCUAUAUACAUGCGUAUGUUUUUAUGUGCAUGUGCAUUAGCUCCCCUCCCCCACCCUUGUGGUGAUUAUCUCUGCUCCUAAUUAAUGCUUGGCAUUGAAACAUGGUUGAGAGCCUGCUUGCUGUUUUGUGCCCUCAUUUAUAAAGCAGAGAAUUCUGUUCAUUUUGACCACCCAUUCUCCCUCUUUCUCUCUCUCUCUGCCAUACACAUACACACACGUAUACGUACACAUGCAUGCAUGAAAGGCACGCUCACAAACACACACAUGGAUGCAUACACAUACAUGCAGGAUAGGCACAAACACACACACACACAGAGGCAGAAUGAAAAUAAAAAUAGGCUCUUCAUGCUGAAUCUGUGAAUCUACAGUACAAAGAAUGGGAAAAAUGAGACUGAUCAAAACUGAAGCACAACAAACAAGGUGAACAAGGGUGCUUAAUGAGCAGAAUUUUUAAUAGUUCCUGUAUAAAAUUUGCUCUUUAAAUAGUGAUAUUUAAAUAAAGGUCAGCAGAGCAGCCUUACAGUAUAAUAUCAUUUCAAGAUCUUAUGAAUUAAUAUCCCUUUUAGUUGUCAUCACCUUUUGUUUCUUCACAGUUGAUUUCAAAUCAGCUUGUGUGCCAUCGUACAUUUGCUCACCAUCUCCAUUAAAACAAAGGGCAUAUGGCAGAGUAACUUCUGGCACAGGCAGAUUGGAGAAGCUUCCCGUAUAGUUCUCUUUACACUCAAUUGUGCUGUCUGUCCCCAUGUACUUAAACUCAUUAUGUAUAAAAUGCUCAACCUCUCCACAUGUAGGAUUCAAUAAUGUAUGUACAGCAAACACCAGGAAUGGUGAGACUGUAUCUAUCUGUAUCUAUCCAACAAGCAUAUGAUCUAAUCUAUGUCAGAGGUCUUAUCUUGACUGAAACCACAUUAUCAGUUUGCUUUCCUGUUAAAAGAUGAAUAUACUGCCUUAUAUUGUAAAUAUUGUAUGUGGACUUUCUAGAAAAUAGUGAUGAUAUACUACACAGUAGUGUAAUAUAUUGCAAUAUGUAAUACAUUUGUAACACGUAUUUCCAAUACAGUAGGGACCAAAAGUCUGAGGACAUCAUUUAUACUUCUUAUUGUUGUCCUGGUUGUUUUUAUCAAGGAAUGAGGCAUCAAGUAACACCAACAGAUCAUUUUUGGGAACCAUUGAGAAAGUGCUGGGAUGUGUAAGUUGUGUAAGUCGUACUGGAUAAGAGCGUCUGCUAAAUGCCUGUAAUAUAAUGAAAUGGAAGAUGAGGUGUUGCAUAAGCUGGUGGAAUCAAUGCCAAGUGAAAGUGGUAAUGAAAAUGAAAGGUGAACAAAGUACUAACAUUUUUUGACCUUCAAUAAAUACCCACAUACUUUUUUGACAUUAUUAAAUUAACGUGUUCUUCGAUAGAGAACCAUAGCAUAGCAUUGUAAUUGUAUCAGCCAUUGAUAAAUAAUAAAAACAAUCAGUUCUUGGUAGA